rnacentral:rRNA from 1 species
GACGAACGCUGGCGGCGUGCUUAACACAUGCAAGUCGAACGAAGAGCGAUGGAAGCUUGCUUCUAUCAAUCUUAGUGGCGAACGGGUGAGCAACGCGUAAUCAACCUGCCCUUCAGAGGGGGACAACAGUUGGAAACGACUGCUAAUACCGCAUACGAUCUAACCUCGGCAUCGAGGAUAGAUGAAAGGUGGCCUCUAUUUAUAAGCUAUCACUGAAGGAGGGGAUUGCGUCUGAUUAGCUAGUUGGAGGGGUAACGGCCCACCAAGGCGAUGAUCAGUAGCCGGUCUGAGAGGAUGAACGGCCACAUUGGGACUGAGACACGGCCCAGACUCCUACGGGAGGCAGCAGUGGGGAAUCUUCCGCAAUGGACGAAAGUCUGACGGAGCAACGCCGCGUGAGUGAUGACGGCCUUCGGGUUGUAAAGCUCUGUUAAUCGGGACGAAAGGCCUUCUUGCGAAUAGUUAGAAGGAUUGACGGUACCGGAAUAGAAAGCCUCGGCUAACUACGUGCCAGCAGUCGCGGUAAUACGUAGGUGGCAAGCGUUGUCCGGAAUUAUUGGGCGUAAAGCGCGCGCAGGCGGAUUGGUCAGUCUGUCUUAAAAGUUCGGGGCUUAACCCCGUGAUGGGAUGGAAACUGCCAAUCUAGAGUAUCGGAGAGGAAAGUGGAAUUCCUAGUGUAGCGGUGAAAUGCGUAGAUAUUAGGAAGAACACCAGUGGCGAAGGCGACUUUCUGGACGAAAACUGACGCUGAGGCGCGAAAGCCAGGGGAGCGAACGGGAUUAGAUACCCCGGUAGUCCUGGCCGU